UGAGGAAUAUUGGUCAAUGGACGAGAGUCUGAACCAGCCAAGUAGCGUGCAGGAUGACGGCCCUAUGGGUUGUAAACUGCUUUUGUUUGGGAAUAAUCGACAUUACGUGUAAUGUUUUGCAUGUACCAUUCGAAUAAGGACCGGCUAAUUCCGUGCCAGCAGCCGCGGUAAUACGGAAGGUCCAGGCGUUAUCCGGAUUUAUUGGGUUUAAAGGGAGCGUAGGCCGUUUGGUAAGCGUGUUGUGAAAUGUAGGAGCUCAACUUCUAGAUUGCAGCGCGAACUGUCAGACUUGAGUGCGCACAACGUAGGCGGAAUUCAUGGUGUAGCGGUGAAAUGCUUAGAUAUCAUGAAGAACUCCGAUUGCGAAGGCAGCUUACGGGAGCGCAACUGACGCUGAAGCUCGAAGGGGCGGGUAUCGAACAGG
rnacentral:rRNA from 1 species